AGCGAACGCUGGCGGCAGGCCUAACACAUGCAAGUCGAACGAACCUUUCGGGGUUAGUGGCGGACGGGUGAGUAACACGUGGGAACGUGCCUUUAGGUUCGGAAUAACUCAGGGAAACUUGUGCUAAUACCGAAUGUGCCCUUCGGCGGAAAGAUUUAUCGCCUUUAGAGCGGCCCGCGUCUGAUUAGCUAGUUGGUUGAGGUAAUGGCACACCAAGGCGACGUUCAGUAGCUGGUUUGAGAGGAUGAUCCGCCACCUUGGGACUGAGACACGGCCCAAACUCCUACGGGAGGCAGCAGUGGGGAAUCUUGCGCAAUGGGCGAAAGCCUGACGCAGCCAUGCCGCGUGAAUGAUGAAGGUCUUAGGAUUGUAAAAUUCUUUCACCGGGGACGAUAAUGACGGUACCCGGAGAAGAAGCCCCGGCUAACUUCGUG
rnacentral:rRNA from 1 species